GCUAUGGAGUGGUGUUUCGGUUGAGUGCAUGGCUCUGUGUAUUGCUAUUGUGCGGUCGUUACUAAAGUUGGUAUAACUAGAGAAGGUAGCAGUCGGCAACAUUCAUCUCUCGAAGAGGUGUCUAACUCGGUGUGUUUGACCCUAAGUUAAUUUUAAGCCGGAAUAUCCCUUUAAAGGAAGUUCUUCCUCUCCAAUGUAACUUUAAAUGCUGCAAAGCGUUUUACUCACGUGGUUAAAAAUGUAAGAAGAGUGGGUCUGAUCUUUCAAAAUAAAAGCACAAAAAGCCCCAAAAUAAAAUGAAACAUGUAAAAUAAAAAAAUUCCCUCUUA